UACGUAGGGUGCAAGCGUUGUCCGGAAUUAUUGGGCGUAAAGAGCUCGUAGGCGGUUCGUCGCGUCGGCUGUGAAAACCCGAGGCUCAACCUCAGGCCUGCAGUCGAUACGGGCGGACUUGAGUACUGCAGGGGAGACUGGAAUUCCUGGUGUAGCGGUGAAAUGCGCAGAUAUCAGGAGGAACACCGGUGGCGAAGGCGGGUCUCUGGGCAGUAACUGACGCUGAGGAGCGAAAGCGUGGGGAGCGAACAGG
rnacentral:rRNA from 1 species